UUUGUGGGGUGCUCGAGUGGCGAACGGGUGAGUAACACGUGAGUAACCUGCCCUUGACUUUGGGAUAACUUCAGGAAACUGGGGCUAAUACCGGAUAGGAGCUCCUGCUGCAUGGUGGGGGUUGGAAAGUUUCGGCGGUUGGGGAUGGACCCGCGGCUUAUCAGCUUGUUGGUGGGGUAGUGGCUUACCAAGGCUUUGACGGGUAGCCGGCCUGAGAGGGUGACCGGCCACAUUGGGACUGAGAUACGGCCCAG
rnacentral:rRNA from 1 species